rnacentral:tRNA from 1 species
AAGAAUAUAGUUAACUAUAACAUUUGAUUUGCAAUCAAAAAGUAUUGAUAUCCAAUUUUUCUUA